CCCUCAUGAAAUUAGGGCUACUAAUCUAGAUGCAAUUUCAUGUAUCUUCCUAUGGAGGGCGCUCUAUGUGUUAGAAGACUAGAGCGUCCUACUAGCAAACAUUCUCUCUCUCUCUACCAGCGACAUAUUUCCUGUGAACGUGCACCUGAAAGAGCUCCCGGAUUUGAAGAUAAAUAAUAACGAAAUACUUUUGAAAAUUCAAUACUUUACGUCUAGUUAUAUCCAUAAGAUAUUAGUCUAUCUCAAACUCAACUUUGAAUAAGAAAGAAAAGUGAUUCUGUCGAGUUUACAGCAAAUUGGAACUCUGAUUGGUUUUUUGAACGACCAGAUCAGAUUCGGAUCCCAGAUGGCGAGCCCAGCCCAGUGAGACUGAGAACGAUCGUGGAAGCGGUGUGGCCAACCGUACGAUUUGUCUCAGAGAAACCCAAGAUUUGUUCAUUCGUUCAUCGAACACCAGAUAAGAUUUUCCACACUGUUGACUCAACACAGUAGUCAUAUCCGCACACAUUCAAGGAACUGAACUUUGGGAAUCGAUAUACACACACACACACGUUCAAGGAACUGAACUUUGGGAAUCACUACACUUUUCAUACAGGAACUGAUAUACACUUUUCAUGCAGGAACUGAUACACACUUUUCAUACAGGAAUUGAACUUUCUUGAAUCAGUACAUACAGGAAUAAGGGGCUUGAAUUCUAUGUUUCCUUUGAUUUUCAUAUUUUAUUUGUUUGAAGAGCUCUUCCUUAUCAUUUCAUUUAUAUUUUGCCCAUUCAAUGCUGUGUAACCACACUGCUGUUUCGGAGGCAAUAAAACUGUCAAUUGUUCAACUUAUUAAUUCCUCUUGUGAGUUAGUCCAUUUAAGCAUACCCCUCUCCCGAGCCUAGGUUGAUGUUUAGUGCUUGAAUUACUGGUCCAGGUCUACGAGCGCUACA